CCUACGGGGUGCAGCAGUGAGGAAUAUUGGUCAAUGGCCGAGAGGCUUAACCAGCCAAGUCGCGUGAAGGAAGACGGCCCUACGGGUUUUAAACCUCUUUUGUCGGGGAGCAAAGCGAGUCACGUGUGACUCAUUGAGAGUACCCGAAGAAAAAGCAUCGGCUAACUCCGUGCCAGCAGCCGCGGUAAUACGGGGGAUGCGAGCGUUAUCCGGUUUUAUUGGGUUAAAAGGGUGAGCAGGCGGAGGUGCAAGUCAGCGGUAAAAUUGCGGGGCUCAACCCCGUACUGCCGUUGAAACUGCAUGCCUUGAGUGCGCGAGAAGUAUGCGGAAUGCGUGGUGUAGCGGUGAAAUGCAUAGAUAUCACGCAGAACUCCGAUUGCGAAGGCAGCAUACCGGCGCGCAACUGACGCUCAUGCACGAAAGCGUGGGUAUCGAACAGGAUUAGAUACCCUGGUAGUC
rnacentral:rRNA from 1 species